rnacentral:misc_RNA from 1 species
GGAUAAAAGUCGUAACAAGGUCUCCGUUGGUGAACCAGCGGAGGGAUCAUUACCGAGUUUACAACUCCCAAACCCAAUGUGAACCAUACCAAACUGUUGCCUCGGCGGGGUCACGCCCCGGGUUCGUCGCAGCCCCGGAACCAGGCGCCCGCCGGAGGGACCAACCAAACUCUUUCUGUAGUCCCCUCGCGGACGUUAUUUUUACAGCUCUGAGCAAAAAUUCAAAAUGAAUCAAAACUUUCAACAACGGAUCUCUUGGUUCUG